rnacentral:rRNA from 1 species
GACGAACGCUGGCGGCGUGCCUAAUACAUGCAAGUCGAACGAGAGCGACCGGUGCUUGCACUGGUCAAUCUAGUGGCGAACGGGUGAGUAACACGUGGGUAACCUGCCCAUCAGAGGGGGAUAACAUUCGGAAACGGAUGCUAAAACCGCAUAGGUCCUUUAACCGCAUGGUUGAAGGAGGAAAAGAGGCGCAAGCUUCUGCUGAUGGAUGGACCCGCGGUGCAUUAGCUAGUUGGUGAGGUAACGGCUCACCAAGGCCGUGAUGCAUAGCCGACCUGAGAGGGUGAUCGGCCACAUUGGGACUGAGACACGGCCCAAACUCCUACGGGAGGCAGCAGUAGGGAAUCUUCCGCAAUGGACGCAAGUCUGACGGAGCAACGCCGCGUGAGUGAAGAAGGUUUUCGGAUCGUAAAACUCUGUUGUUAGAGAAGAACAAGUGCUAGAGUAACUGUUAGCGCCUUGACGGUAUCUAACCAGAAAGCCACGGCUAACUACGUGCCAGCAGCCGCGGUAAUACGUAGGUGGCAAGCGUUGUCCGGAUUUAUUGGGCGUAAAGCGAGCGCAGGCGGUUCCUUAAGUCUGAUGUGAAAGCCCCCGGCUCAACCGGGGAGGGUCAUUGGAAACUGGGGAACUUGAGUGCAGAAGAGGAGAGUGGAAUUCCAUGUGUAGCGGUGAAAUGCGUAGAUAUAUGGAGGAACACCAGUGGCGAAGGCGACUCUCUGGUCUGUAACUGACGCUGAGGCUCGAAAGCGUGGGUAGCAAACAGG